rnacentral:rRNA from 1 species
GAUGAACGCUGGCGGCGUGCCUAAUACAUGCAAGUCGAGCGAACGGACGAGAAGCUUGCUUCUCUGAUGUUAGCGGCGGACGGGUGAGUAACACGUGGAUAACCUACCUAUAAGACUGGGAUAACUUCGGGAAACCGGAGCUACUACCGGAUAAUAUUUUGAACCGCAUGGUUCAAGAGUGAAAGACGGUCUUGCUGUCACUUAUAGAUGGAUCCGCGCUGCAUUAGCUAGUUGGUAAGGUAACGGCUUACCAAGGCAACGAUGCAUAGCCGACCCGAGAGGGUGAUCGGCCACACUGGAACGGAGACACGGUCCAGACUCCUACGGGAGGCAGCAGUAGGGAAUCUUCCGCAAUGGGCGAAAGCCUGACGGAGCAACGCCGCGUGAGUGAUGAAGGUCUUCGGAUCGUAAAACUCUGUUAUUAGGGAAGAACAAAUGUGUAAGUAACUGUGCACAUCUUGACGGUACCUAAUCAGAAAGCCACGGCUAACUACGUG